GACGAACGCUGGCGGCGUGCUUAACACAUGCAAGUCGAACGGAAAGGCCCUGCUUUUGUGGGGUGCUCGAGUGGCGAACGGGUGAGUAACACGUGAGUAACCUGCCCUUGACUUUGGGAUAACUUCAGGAAACUGGGGCUAAUACCGGAUAGGAGCUCCUGCUGCAUGGUGGGGGUUGGAAAGUUUCGGCGGUUGGGGAUGGACUCGCGGCUUAUCAGCUUGUUGGUGGGGUAGUGGCUUACCAAGGCUUUGACGGGUAGCCGGCCUGAGAGGGUGACCGGCCACAUUGGGACUGAGAUACGGCCCAGACUCCUACGGGAGGCAGCAGUGGGGAAUAUUGCACAAUGGGCGGAAGCAUGAUGCAGCAACGCCGGGUGCGGGAUGACGGCCUUCGGGUAGUAAACCGCUUUCGCGUGUGACGAAGCGUGAGUGACGGUAAUGGGUAAAGAAGCACCGGCUAACUACGU
rnacentral:rRNA from 1 species